AGAGUCGAUCGGACAGUCGCUGUCUCUUUUUGUUCCGGCAAGAAGGGAGGGAGGAAAGUCCGGGCUCCAUAGGGCAAAGUGCCAGGUAACGCCUGGGAGGCGCGAGCCUACGGAAAGUGCCACAGAAAACAACCGCCUAAGCGCUUCGGUGCCGGUAAGGGUGAAAAGGUGCGGUAAGAGCGCACCGCACGGCUGGUAACAGUCCGUGGCUAGGUAAACCCCACUUGGAGCAAGACCAAAUAGGGACCCUCUGGCGUGGCCCGCGCUGGGUCCGGGUAGGUUGCUAGAGGCAGUCAGCGAUGGCUGUCGUAGAGGAAUGGCUGUCCUCGACAGAACCCGGCUUACAGAUCGACUCUCCAA
rnacentral:RNase_P_RNA from 2 species